CCAGGACCUCGUCAUGUGGUGAGCUGAGAUUUACAAGGGGCGCGAUUUAUAUUGUGAAUUAUAAACCUUUAACAUACCUCCCAAGAAGUCGCUCGGUUCAUAAAAAGUCACAAAAGAACUACAAAGAAGAGUCCAACUGCAGAGAAGUUGGAAAUAUUUUAUCCUCCUUUUUUUUUUUUUUUUGGACUAUUGACUCUCUGUCAACCAAUGGAAGUAAAUUGUAAAAUUACAAUUAGUCUUGAUUCUGCAAAAAAAAAAAAACUUAAGAAGAACGUCCGAUUCCCUCCACUUCCGCUAACUAGGUGUUGGGCAAACAUUUGAAAGGCAGCGGAUGGAAGGUCUCCAGACUCUUGGUCUAGGUGGCUCUCAUGAAGACCCAUGAAAACAACUGCAGGUUGGGUCCAGGAAGGGACCACAAAUGGAAUGUGCUGGAUAAUAGGCCGCAGGGCAUGGUGGAGACGGGGCAGCUGAGAGCCGGUGCCCUGCCCGGCCCAUCGUCCCCCCUGCCCAGCUGGUUGUGCCCUGCCUCUCUCUCAGCACACAGGCAAGUGCACCCCAGCCCCCUCUCCUGAC
rnacentral:lncRNA from 1 species